AAAACAGCUCUUCUAUUCCUCUGAAUUCCUAUAUCCUGUGUCUGAAUCACUCAUUUAUCUGAGAUCAAUAUUUCCUUGAUAAGUAGAAAAGGUAGACUUUGACCAGGCAGGAUUUAUAUUUAUACAACGGCUGGGUACACCAAUAUCUUUAUAUCCCUACAGCCCCUAUAUUUCCACAUCUCCUUUGUGUACAUUGGGAUUACAGAGGAGCACGUGACCUCAGUCAACCCAGUGGGAGUCAGCUUUGGAACUUCAGCCAUACAGACUGGGAAAGUGGCUCUCCGUUGGUUGCCAUCCUCGCUGCAGCGUGGACAUGGUCAGCUGAGAAGGAAGCCCACACAGAAGGAAACAGUCGAGGGAAGGAGAGAAAAUCCGAUGCCAUGAUCAAGUCCCUCAUCUGGCUAUACCAAAGCCAAAUACACAUCUCGAACCUCUCAAUUAUGUAAGCAAAUACAUGCUGUCUCAUGCUUAAGCCCA